rnacentral:rRNA from 1 species
AAGGAAUAUUGCUCAAUGGGAGAAAUCCUGAAGCAGCAACGCCGCGUGGAGGAUGAAGGGUCUAUGACUUGUAAACUCCUGUAAAGAAGGAAAAAAUUCCCAUUAGAUGGGAGAUGAUGGUACUUCUGGAGUAAGCCCCGGCUAACUACGUGCCAGCAGCCGCGGUAAUACGUAGGUGGCAAGCGUUGUCCGGAUUUACUGGGCGUAAAGGAUGCGUAGGCGGAUACUUAAGUCAGAUGUGAAAAUCCCGGGCUUAACUUGGGAACUGCAUUUGAAACUGGAUAUCUAGAGUGCGGGAGAGGAAAGUGGAAUUCCUAGUGUAGCGGUGAAAUGCGUAGAGAUUAGGAAGAACACCAGUGGCGAAGGCGACUUUCUGGACCGUAACUGACGCUGAGGCAUGAAAGCGUGGGGAGCAAACA